ensembl:lncRNA
CCGCAGGCCAAUCACCGGGAGCAGGAGGCGGAGACUCGGAUUCGAUAAUCCUACUAUGGUGAAGACGUGGCUUAUGAAUAUUAAAUGAGCAAAAUUGCGUUAAUUCUGAUUGGCUUAAAGGCAGUCGUUGGCAAGGGGACGCUAGUCUGCUGGCCAAUGAGCGAAUCCUACUAUCAGUAUGGCAUGGCUCAUGAAUAUUAAUCAAGGUAAGUGACUGGACGCUCACGGAAGGUUGCCAGGUCGCGUCAUCAAUGUGUCAUUAAUAUUCAUAAGAUGGGGCUUCGCCAUAGUGGGAAUCGAAAAUUCGCUGUCAGGUCGGCCAGUGAUGAAUUGAAUAGGGAAGAAGGAGGAGGAGGAGGAGAAUCCAAUCCGGUUUGAGCAGGUUUUUGUUUCGGACGAGCGUUAACGUGUUCCUAUACUGUGCUCAAGCUUACUGUGUGAAUCUUUAACCGAGCUCAACACACAGUGUCGACUGUUUUUUAGCGUUAAAUCCGUGCAUCUUGCAUUUUUAACCGCUUUGGUUUUUGCGUGUUGUACAAACCCACAACCAUGCCUAAAAGGAGCAAAGCGAACAAUGAUGCUGAAGUCACUGAGCCUAAAAGAAGGUCGGAGAGGUUGGUAAAUAAACCUGCACCCGCAAAGGCAGAGCCUAAGCCAAAGAAGGCGGCUGCCAAGCCUAAGAAAACAAAGGAACCCAAGGAGCCCAAGGAGGAGGAGAAGAAAGAGGAGGUGCCCGCAGAAAACGGAGAAACAAAAGCUGACGAAGAGGCAUCGGCAACAGAAGACACCGACAAGAAGGGAGAAGACGGGGAAUAACUUUGCAGAGGUCUCAUCUUUUACCAGCACUCCCUGUACCUCUUUUCUUGUACAAUUCAGGGGAAUAUUUUUAUCUACUAUUUUCUAAAGGCAGGUUUUUUAGUAGUUUGAUUGUAGAGACACAUUUUUUAUGGAAGAAAAGAAACAUUUUGAAAGUGAUUUCAUCAUAUCCAGCAUUUUUACAUUGGGCAGAAAAAACUACCGUCAUCGUAAAUGUCGACAGGUGUUUUUUUCCCCCCUCUCUGCUCUCGCUUUCAAAGUGUGAGGUAGAGGGGAAGGUUGUGGGCAUGUCGUUUACACAGACAGCUGGACAUCUUACCGAGCUUGUCCGAAUGACUAACAUUCCAUUGGCUCUAUGAGGGAUUUUUUUUGUGUGUGUAUGUGUGUGUGUGUGUGUGUAACCUGUAAUGUGUGUUUGGGGAGGGAGGGGUGGGCAAAUAACUCAUUGUUUAUAAGGCGAAAGAUUACUUGUAGAACGUUUGUAAGCUGUGUUCCAUAUGUUAACUGCAGUUCUCCAUAAUCAUUUCUGCUAAAUAAACAUAUUCUCUAGUACUGGAGUUCA